rnacentral:rRNA from 1 species
GAGGAAUAUUGGUCAAUGGGCGGAAGCCUGAACCAGCCAUGCCGCGUGCAGGACGACGGCCCUACGGGUUGUAAACUGCUUUUCCGGGGGAAGAAUAACCCCCCUGCGGGGGGGGAUGCCGGUACCCCGGGAAUAAGGAUCGGCUAACUCCGUGCCAGCAGCCGCGGUAAUACGGAGGAUCCUAGCGUUAUCCGGAUUUACUGGGUUUAAAGGGUGCGUAGGCGGGCGCUUAAGUCCGCGGUGAAAGUCUGCGGCUCAACCGUAGGAUUGCCGUGGAUACUGGGCGUCUUGGAUUCGGUCGGGGCGGGCGGAAUGCGUGGUGUAGCGGUGAAAUGCAUAGAUAUCACGCAGAACGCCGAUAGCGAAGGCAGCUCGCCGGGCCGAUAUCGACGCUGAGGCACGAAAGCGUGGGGAUCAAAC